UAGUCCACGCCCUAAACGAUGCUUACUAGAAGUAUGGAUUUACUUUAUGCUUCUAAGGGAAACCGAUAAGUAAGCCACCUGGGGAGUACGUUCGCAAGAAUGAAACUCAAAGGAAUUGACGGGGGCCCGCACAAGCGGUGGAGCAUGUGGUUUAAUUCGAUGAUACGCGAGGAACCUUACCAGGGCUUAAAUGUAGUAUGACAGGUUUAGAGAUAGACUUUUCUUCGGACAUAUUACAAGGUGCUGCAUGGUUGUCGUCAGCUCGUGCCGUGAGGUGUCAGGUUAAGUCCUAUAACGAGCGCAACCCCUGUCGUUAGUUGCCAGCAAGUAAAGUUGGGGACUCUAACGAGACUGCCUACGCAAGUAGAGAGGAAGGUGGGGAUGACGUCAAAUCAUCACGGCCCUUACGUCCUGGGCCACACACGUGCUACAAUGGUAUGGACAAUGAGCAGCCAUCUGGCAACAGAGAGCGAAUCUAUAAACCAUAUCACAGUUCGGAUCGGAGU
rnacentral:rRNA from 1 species